rnacentral:rRNA from 1 species
UACGUAGGGUGCGAGCGUUGUCCGGAAUCAUUGGGCGUAAAGAGCGUGUAGGCGGUCCGGUAAGUCCGCUGUGAAAGUCGGGGGCUCAACCCUCGAAUGCCGGUGGAUACUGUCGGGCUUGAGUACGGAAGAGGCGAGUGGAAUUCCUGGUGUAGCGGUGAAAUGCGCAGAUAUCAGGAGGAACACCAAUUGCGAAGGCAGCUCGCUGGGACGUUACUGACGCUGAGGCGCGAAAGCGUGGGGAGCAAACAGG